UGAGUGCCUAGCUAUCAGCUGCCUGCAGACGACCUUUGAAGAUUCACAAUUCAAAGAUUAUAGCGAAAGAAAAAAAAUAUUCUUAAAACAGGCCACGUGCUUGAAGGACCUAUCUGAUGACCAAUCUUAAGACAUGAUGGAUUUGGAAUAGUGAGGACGGAAUGGAGCGAAAAAUCGGCGAGAACCAACAGACAGCCGAGUCCUCCGUCCUCUCACGCAAGGACAGACGGGCAGUUAUGUAGAUUUGUGCAAGUGAUGAUUGUAUUCAAUUCUUCAACCACCACCGAGAGAGCGAUGUAGAUUCC
rnacentral:sRNA from 1 species